rnacentral:rRNA from 1 species
GACUUCGGUCAAAUGACUUUUGAACUUAGUGGCGGACGGGUGAGUAACGCGUGAGCAACCUGCCUUUCAGAGGGGGAUAACAUUUGGAAACAGAUGCUAAUACCGCAUAAGAUUACAGUACCGCAUGAUACAGUGAUCAAAGGAGCAAUCCGCUGAAAGAUGGGCUCGCGUCCGAUUAGAUAGUUGGUGAGGUAACGGCUCACCAAGUCGACGAUCGGUAGCCGGACUGAGAGGUUGAACGGCCACAUUGGGACUGAGACACGGCCCAGACUCCUACGGGAGGCAGCAGUGGGGGAUAUUGCGCAAUGGGGGAAACCCUGACGCAGCAACGCCGCGUGAAGGAUGAAGGUCUUCGGAUUGUAAACUUCUUUUAUUAAGGACGAAGAAAGUGACGGUACUUAAUGAAUAAGCUCCGGCUAACUACGUGCCAGCAGCCGCGGUAAUACGUAGGGAGCAAGCGUUGUCCGGAUUUACUGGGUGUAAAGGGUGCGUAGGCGGCUUUGCAAGUUAGAUGUGAAAUCUAUGGGCUCAACCCAUAGCCUGCAUUUGAAACUGCAGAGCUUGAGUGAAGUAGAGGCAGGCGGAAUUCCCCGUGUAGCGGUGAAAUGCGUAGAGAUGGGGAGGAACACCAGUGGCGAAGGCGGCCUGCUGGGCUUUAACUGACGCUGAGGCACGAAAGCGUGGGUAGCAAACAGGAUUAGAUACCCUGGUAGUCCACGCUGUAAACGAUGAUUACUAGGUGUGGGGGGUCUGACCCCUUCCGUGCCGGAGUUAACACAAUAAGUAAUCCACCUGGGGAGUACGGCCGCAAGGUUGAAACUCAAAUGAAUUGACGG